UACGGGGGGGCAAGCGUUGUUCGGAGUUACUGGGCGUAAAGGGUGCGUAGGCGGCUUUUUAAGUUUGGUGUGAAAUCUCCCGGCUCAACUGGGAGGGUGCGCCGAAUACUGAGAAGCUAGAGUGUGGGAGAGGAAAGUGGAAUUCCUGGUGUAGCGGUGAAAUGCGUAGAUAUCAGGAGGAACACCGGUGGUGUAAACGGCUUUCUGGACCAUAACUGACGCUGAGGCACGAAAGCGUGGGUAGCAAACAGG
rnacentral:rRNA from 1 species